ACCCCAAGAUAUUAAGCCGGCAAGCGAUUGUAAUUUAACCAGCAACGUUUGUGACUAUGACUGGGAACAUAAACCGCUGCUGAUGUGUGUAUGUUGGGAGCCUCUCUAUGGCAUUCAACAAAGUUAUUUUCAGACGACA
rfam:Drosophila busckii chromosome 2R sequence.